rnacentral:tRNA from 1 species
GAAACUUAUAGGUUUAUUUUAGUCCUGCUAAGUCUUAAAAUCUGUGGUUCAAAUCCAUAGAAGUUUCACCA